UGGGGGAUAUUGCACAAUGGAGGAAACUCUGAUGCAGCAACGCCGCGUGAGGGAAGAAGGUUUUCGGAUUGUAAACCUCUGUUUUUAGUGAAGAAACAAAUGACGGUAGCUAAAGAGGAAGCCACGGCUAACUACGUGCCAGCAGCCGCGGUAAUACGUAGGUGGCAAGCGUUGUCCGGAAUUACUGGGUGUAAAGGGUGCGCAGGCGGGAUUGCAAGUUGGAUGUGAAAUACCGGGGCUUAACCCCGGAGCUGCAUCCAAAACUGUAGUUCUUGAGUGGAGUAGAGGUAAGCGGAAUUCCGAGUGUAGCGGUGAAAUGCGUAGAUAUUCGGAGGAACACCAGUGGCGAAGGCGGCUUACUGGGCUCUAACUGACGCUGAGGCACGAAAGCAUGGGUAGCAAACA
rnacentral:rRNA from 1 species